GAUGAACGCUGGCGGCGUGCCUAAUACAUGCAAGUCGAGCGAACGGACGAGAAGCUUGCUUCUCUGAUGUUAGCGGCGGACGGGUGAGUAACACGUGGAUAACCUACCUAUAAGACUGGGAUAACUUCGGGAAACCGGAGCUAAUACCGGAUGAUAUUUUGAACCGCAUGGUUCAAAAGUGAAAGACGGUCUUGCUGUCACUUAUAGAUGGAUCCGCGCUGCAUUAGCUAGUUGGUAAGGUAACGGCUUACCAAGGCUACGAUGCAUAGCCGAUCUGAGAGGGUGAUCGGCCACACUGGAACUGAGACACGGUCCAGACUCCUACGGGAGGCAGCAGUGGGGAAUAUUGGGCAAAGGGCGAAAGCCUGACGGAGCAACACCGCGUGAGUGAAGAAGGCCUUCGGAUCGUAAAACUCUGUUAUUGGGAAAGAACAGAAGUAUAUGAAUCCGUGCCUGUCUUGACGGUACCUAAACAAAAAGCACCGGCUAACUACGUG
rnacentral:rRNA from 1 species